rnacentral:rRNA from 1 species
AACCAGAAGGCGCAAUGAAAGUGAAGGCACGGCCGCCGUGCCGAGGUGAGAGCUGUCUGUACGUGGCAGCACAUCAUCGACCGAUCCCAUCCGCUCCCCUGUGGUGCGGCGGGAUUCGAGUAAGAGUGUACCUGUUGCGACCCGAAAGAUGGUGAACUAUGCCUGAAUAGGGUGAAGCCAGAGGAAACUCUGGUGGAGGCCCGUAGCGAUUCUGACGUGCAAAUCGAUCGUCAAAUUUGGGUAUAGGGGCGAAAGACUAAUCGAACCAUCUAGUAGCUGGUUCCCUCCGAAGUUUCCCUCAGGAUAGCUGUAGCCCGAAGCAGUUUUAUCAGGUAAAGCGAAUGAUUAGAGGUAUCGGGGAAGAAACUUCCUCGACCUAUUCUCAAACUUUAAAUAGGUAAGAAGUCCGACUUGCUCAAUCUGAAGCCGGACGUAGAAUGCUGGGUUACUAGUGGGCCAUUUUUGGUAAGCAGAACUGGCGAUGCGGGAUGAACCGAACGCUGAGUUAAGGUGCCAAAGUCGACGCUCAUCAGAUCCCACAAA